rnacentral:rRNA from 1 species
UGCCUGAUGGAGGGGGAUAACUACUGGAAACGGUAGCUAAUACCGCAUAACGUCGCAAGACCAAAGAGGGGGACCUUCGGGCCUCUUGCCAUCGGAUGUGCCCAGAUGGGAUUAGCUAGUAGGUGGGGUAACGGCUCACCUAGGCGACGAUCCCUAGCUGGUCUGAGAGGAUGACCAGCCACACUGGAACUGAGACACGGUCCAGACUCCUACGGGAGGCAGCAGUGGGGAAUAUAUCCCAUGGGCGCAAGCCUGAUGCAGCCAUGCCGCGUGUAUGAAGAAGGCCUUCGGGUUGUAAAGUACUUUCAGCGGGGAGGAAGGGAGUAAAGUUAAUACCUUUGCUCAUUGACGUUACCCGCAGAAGAAGCACCGGCUAACUCCGUGCCAGCAGCCGCGGUAAUACGGAGGGUGCAAGCGUUAAUCGGAAUUACUGGGCGUAAAGCGCACGCAGGCGGAUUGUUAAGUCAGAUGUGAAAUCCCCCCGG